CGAGUACCCUCAAGAGCGUCAAAACCUUUCCCUCCCUUUUCCUUCUCGCACCUCACUCCUCACUUCUCACCCGUUUCCUCAGCUAAAAGUACUCCGGCUCAGCCUCACCACCGAUAGCAACCGGCGAUCAGCGCCUGUGAUCGAUUCCUCUCACUUGCCUUCGCUUCAAUUGACAAUUUCAUGCCUCUACUUAUGUAUCAUAGUUUCUGCGCUAUAUAGAGUUUCUGUAAUCAUAAACUAAAGAGGAAGAACCGAAGAUGAGUACCGUCGAUAAGAUGCUUAUAAAAGGAAUCCGGAGUUUCGACCCGGAGAACAAAAACGUCAUCACCUUCUUCAAGCCUCUAACCCUAAUCGUCGGCCCCAACGGCGCUGGCAAAACUACGAUUAUAGAGUGUUUAAAGCUUUCUUGCACAGGAGAGUUGCCUCCAAAUGCGAGGUCUGGCCACAGUUUUGUUCAUGAUCCCAAGGUUGCGGGGGAAACAGAGACAAAGGGGCAAAUUAAGCUACGAUUCAAGACUGCAGCAGGGAAAGACGUGGUUUGCAUAAGAUCAUUCCAGCUAACACAGAAGGCAUCAAAAAUGGAGUAUAAGGCUAUUGAGAGUGUACUUCAAACAAUAAAUCCACAUACUGGAGAGAAAGUUUGCCUUAGCUAUAGAUGUGCUGACAUGGAUCGAGAAAUCCCUGCUUUAAUGGGUGUCUCAAAGGCCAUUCUAGAAAAUGUUAUAUUUGUUCACCAAGAUGAAGCUAACUGGCCUUUGCAAGAUCCUUCCACAUUAAAGAAGAAGUUUGAUGAUAUCUUCUCUGCCACACGGUAAACUAUUAAAUUUUGCAAUGUUCAAUUACACAGAUACACAAAGGCAUUGGAGGUUAUUAAAAAACUUCACAAGGAUCAGGCUCAAGAGAUAAAGACCUACAAACUUAAAUUAGAAAAUCUUCAGACCUUGAAGGACUCUGCAUAUAAGCUUCGGCAAAGCAUUGGUCAGGAUGAAGAAAGAACAGAAUCUUCAAAAGUCCAAAUACAAGAUGUAGAAAAUAAAGUUCAGAAUGUUGAUGCAAAAAUCCAUCAAAUUGAAACAACUCUGAAAGAUUUGAGAAAACUACAGGAGCAGAUAUCAACAAAAACUGCUGAAAGGAGAACUUUGUUUAAGGAGCAGCAGAGACAGUAUGAAGCUCUUGAGGAGGAAAAUGAAGAUACUGAUGAAGACCUGAUGAAAUGGAAAACCAAGUUUGAUGAACAUGUUGCAUCUUUGGAAUCUAACAUUGGCAAGUUGGAGAGGGAAAUGAAUGACAUUGAGACAAAAAGUUCUCUUCAUAGGCAGAGCAUUACAGAGUAUAUCCGAGAGAGUAGCAAGCUUCAGACUGAAGCUGAAGCUCACGGUUCCCAGAAGAAUGAAAGGGAUUCUACUAUCCAAAAACUUUGUGCAAGACAUAAUUUAGGGUCUCUUCCACAUACCCCUUUCAGUGAUGACGUUGCUUUGAACCUUAUGAAUAGACUAAAAUCAAGGUUGAUAGAUCUCGAGAAGGAUUUGCAAGAUAAAAAGACAUCAAAUGAUAUUGAAGUUAAGACAGCAGAGAAUCACUAUUGGGAUGUAAAUGACCGUUGGAAAAACACUGAGGCUCUGAAGCAUGCUAAAUUAGAGAUAAAGAACGGCAUUGUGAAUCGCAUGAAAGAUAAGGAACGUGAUCUUGCUUCACUUGAAGAACAAAUUUCACAUAUUAAUCUUUCUCAUAUGGAUGAAAGAGAAAAAAACUUGCAAAUUGAAGUUGAGAGAAAGACAAAGCAGCUUGCUGAAAGAGAGUUUGAAUCAAACAUUCGUCAAAAGCAAAGUGAGCUGUAUGGGAUAGAGCAACAGAUUAAGGCACUCAAUCGCGAGAAAGACAUCUUGGCUGGAGAUUCUGAGGACAGAGUGAAACUGUCCCUGAAGAAGGCAGAGUUGGAGAAUCACAAGAAGAAGCACAGAAAAAUAAUUGAUGAAUACAAGGAUAGAAUCAGAGAAGUGCUAAAAGGGAGGCUUCCUGCUGAUAAGGAUAUGAAGAAGGAAAUUACUCAAGCCUUAAGGGCUCUUGGAAUUGAAUUUGAUGACUUGAAUUCAAAAUCUCGUGAAGCUGAGAAGGAGGUAAAUGUGUUGCAGAUGAAAAUACAAGAUGUUAACAAUAACCUGUCCAAACUUCUCAAGGAUAUGGACUCAAGGAAGAGAUUCAUUGAAUCCAAACUCCAAUCCUUGGAUCAACAAUCUUUUACCAUUGAUUUGUACCUCAAAGCUUUGGAGUCUGCAAAGGAGAAAAAAGAUGUCCAGAAAAGCAAGUACAAUAUUGCAGAUGGUAUGCGGCAAAUGUUUGAUCCUUUUGAAAGGGUUGCCCGUGCUCAUCACAUGUGCCCUUGCUGUGAGCGCCCUUUCUCUGCUGAAGAGGAAGAUGAGUUUGUUAAAAAGCAAAGAGUGAAGGCUGCAAGUUCUGCUGAGCACAUGAAGGUGUUGGCUUCAGAGUCCUUAAAUGCAGAUUCUUAUUUUCAGCAGCUGGACAAGCUUCGUAUUGUUUUUGAGGAAUAUGUCAAAAUUGGCAAGGAAACAAUUCCUCUUGCAGAGAAAAAUUUGCAUGAACUUACUGAACAGCUGGAUGAGAAAUCUCAAGUCCUUGAUGAUGUGUUGGGUGUUUUAGCUCAAAUAAAGGCUGACAAGGACUCAGUUGACGCCCUGGUGCAACCUGUUGAAACUGCUGAUAGGCUUUAUCAAGAAAUCCAAACGUGGCAAAAGCAAGUUGAUGAUUUGGAGUACAAGCUUGACUUUCGGGGGCAAGGUGUCAGAUCUAUGGAAGAAAUUCAGUCAGAACUGAGUAGUUUGCAGGGCACAAGGGAUGCUUUGCAUACUGAACUGGAGAAGUUAAGGGAAGAUAGGAGGUACAUGGAAAAUGAUUUGUCACACAUUCAACUACGUUGGCAUGGUCUAAGGGAGGAGAAAACUAGAAUAGGUAACACCUUGCAUGAUCUAAAAAAGGUGGAAGAGGAGUUGGAACGAUUAUCUGAGGAAAAAAACCAAGUUGAGCUUGAUGAGAAGCAUUUGGAAGAGGCUCUCGGCCCUUUAUCUAAGGAGAGAGAAAAAUUGCAGAGUUACUGCAGUGAAUUGAAAGUGAAACUUGAGAAGGAAUACGAGGAGCAGAAAAAACAAUUAGAUGACUAUCAGUGGGAAGUCAGCGCACUUCUCAAGACUAAUUCUAAAAUUAAGGAGUAUAAUGAUUUAAAGAAAGGGGAUAGAUUGAAGGAGGUGCGAGAAAAACUCUCUCUAUUAGAGUCUCAGCUUCAAAGUUGUGAUAAAAGGAAGGAAGAGAUUUUAGCUGAAUUAAACCGAAGUAAAGAUGUUUUAAGGAGCCAAGAUUCCAUAAAAAGAAAUAUUGAGGACAACUUGAAUUACAGGAAAACUAAGGCUGAAGUGGAUAAGCUUACCCAGGAGAUUGAAUCUUUGGAAGACAGAAUACUGAAGAUUGGCAGGGUUUCUACAUUUGAAGCUGAACUUGUCAGAUAUUCACAAGAAAGAGAGAGACUUCUUUCAGAGUUGAACAGGUGCCGUGGUACAAUGUCAGUUUACCAGAGUAAUAUUUCAAAGAAUAAGAUUGAUCUUAAACAGGCCCAAUACAAGGACAUUGACAAGCGGUACUUCGACCAGCUAAUUCAGCUUAAGACGACUGAAAUGGCAAACAAGGACCUGGACAGAUACUACAAUGCAGUUGACAAAGCACUUAUGCGGUUCCACACCAUGAAAAUGGAGGAAAUAAAUAAAAUCAUUAGGGAAUUGUGGCAACAAACAUACAGAGGACAGGAUAUAGAUUACAUUAGCAUUCAUUCAGAUUCAGAAGGUGCUGGGACUCGAUCUUACAGCUACAAGGUUCUAAUGCAGACUGGAGAUGCAGAGCUAGAAAUGAGAGGAAGGUGCAGUGCUGGUCAGAAGGUCCUUGCCUCUCUUAUUAUUCGGCUGGCUUUAGCAGAGACAUUUUGCCUUAACUGUGGAAUACUAGCUCUAGAUGAGCCUACAACGAACUUGGAUGGCCCAAAUGCCGAGAGUCUUGCUGCAGCUCUUCUUAGAAUUAUGGAGGAUAGAAAGGGGCAGGAGAAUUUUCAACUGAUAGUGAUUACUCAUGAUGAACGUUUUGCCCAUCUGAUUGGUCAAAGGCAGCAUGCAGAACGAUACUAUAGAGUCACUAAAGAUGAUCAUCAGCAUAGCAUAAUUGAAUCUCAAGAGAUUUUUUAUUGACAAUCGAAAAUGAGGCAGAAGCAUCCUUUGUUCAGAAGGAGAAAGACUUGGAAUGUUCAAUCUGAAAUUGAAAAAAUUUCCAGAAGUCAGUUUUUUGUAUAUAAGCAAUGGGUAAAUUAAUUAUGAUACAUCAUUUCCCUCCUUUCCCUUGGUUUCUUUUCUUUUAUUGAAAACCUCUCUAUAUGAAAGCCUUGUUUAUUGCUUGGAUGAAGUCCUCCAAGCCAAAAGCAUCUAACCUUUGGUUGUUGUAAACGGUGAUGUAGUGCACUCUGUUUUAAUAACGAGUAUUGAUCAAAGCAUGGACAAGGUGGAAGUGAGUGUUGUCUUGUUUUCCCACCACUCAUUUCUGCUUGCUGCAACUUGGCAUGUGUUGCGUUUGUGGCAUAGCAAAAGGAUGUGGUGUUGGAGAGAUUCACAAAUUAUGGAUUCCAAUACGUUUCAUAUCUGACACUGGGUUAAACUUCAGACUUUUCAGGACCAUUUUUUAUCCAGCAAUUCUGGGCACCAUCGACGAUGACAAUGUUAUUCUUGCUGAAUCUGAAUUAACUUCCCUUUCGCAUUUCUGUGAAACCUUCCCUACUCUUUUAAACGUGCAUCCUGUGGAAGGCACACUUAUAAAUGAUAUGCAAGAAAAAAAAAUCAAAUUGAAUUUGUAUACAAUUAUAUUUUAUUUUUUAUAAUUUAG
rnacentral:misc_RNA from 1 species